GAGCUUAAAACUAACAAGAAAAUGCAUCUAAACGGUCGCGCGUUCAGCGCAACGUUGAAACUUCGGGUACUUUGCUGCCUUGUCAUUUGCCCUUGCAGAGGUUGCAAUUAUUUAAACUGCUCCGUACGCGCUAUUUUUGUAUGCUACU
rnacentral:lncRNA from 1 species